rnacentral:misc_RNA from 1 species
CGACCUUGAAGAAAGAAAGGAAAAAAAAAGAAGGGAAAAAUUAAACCAGAGCCUGCAAUGGGCAGCAAAGCAAGCCCUGAAACAGCACCAACACAACCAGCUCUUCCAUGGAAGACACGUCUCACCGUCUCACUCAUUUCAACCUUUUCGGAUGCCACCCGCCGUUCCGACCGCACCAUAAACCGCCGUCUCCUCAACUUCUUCGACUUCAAGUCACCUCCUUCCCCCACCAAACCA